GAUAGAUAGAUAGAUAGAUAGAUAGAUAGAUAGAUAGAUAGAUAGAUAGAUAGAUAGAUACUUUAUUUAUCCAGAAGAAAAUUUAGAAGAAGUCUACAUUCCUGGGUGUUUGGUUUUAUACACCUGUGGCCAUGUAAGAGAUUGGAAAUUGAGUUAAAUAUAGUUUAUAUUACAGAAAACUGAAUAAAAUCGGUCUUUUUUAAGCAUUUUAAAUAUUUUUGGUCAUUUGGUAAUAUCAUUAGAAUGUAUGUAAUGUAAAGUAAUGAGUCAUGUGAUUCAGUUCAAAUUAUUUAUAAAACUUUAUUUUUAAUUCAAUUGCUCUUCUUUUGGAACACAUAUCCAAGCACUAAAACCAAACCAAAGAACAUGGGACAAAAACACGAGACGAGGCUGAACACGAACAGCCGCAUUUACACACACACAUACUUUACACACUCACACACUCACACUCAUUCACUCUCUCACACACACACACCUGCACACAUAUACAUUGCCACCUACAGUGUGAAAGACAGACUACUAGAGUGACGAGACCGACCAGAGUCUGAAAGAAAACGACAAGAAAAAGAAAACACGUUAUUUUUAAAAAAGAAGACGAAGAAGCAAAAAAUCACACGACUUUUCACGUUAUCUCGACUCUCCUCGGUUCCAGAGGAGAAAAAAGGAGAGGAGGAGAAAAUAAAAACAGGAAAAAAACAGAAACAGUUCAAAAGAAACCAACCGAAAAAAAUAAAGAAUAAACAGUUCACUGAGAGGAAUCAAACUAUACUGUGGAUUAGUUUAGUCAUGUCUGCGGGAAACACAUGAAGCACAGUGGCGUCCGCACUAAUCGUAUGGCUUUUUCAUUCAUGCAACAGCUCGGCUGUGGAUGUUUGACACUGGAGAUACAUUUAGUACAUAUACAGCUCUGGAAAAAAAAUACAGACUACUUAAAAAUGAUGAGUUUCUUUGAUUUUACCAAAUUUAAAAACCCCUGGAAUAUAAUCAAGAGCAAGAUGGAUG
rnacentral:lncRNA from 1 species